rnacentral:sRNA from 1 species
UUCUAGACCAUUGAAAGCCUCUCAAAUGGUGAAUUCCUGCAUCACCAGCCCUUCUACACCUUCAAAGAAAUUCACCUUCAAAUCCAAGAGCUCCUUGGCUUUAUGCCUUGAUUCAGACAGUGAGGAUGAGCUAAAACGUUCUGUGGCCCUCAGCCAGAGACUUUGUGAAAUGUUAGGCAACGAACAGCAGCAGGAAGACCUGGAAAAAGAUUCAAAAUUAUGCCCAAUAGAGCCUGACAAGUCUGAAUUGGAAAACUCAGGAUUUGACAGAAUGAGCGAAGAAGAGCUUCUAGCAGCUGUCUUGGAGAUAAGUAAGAGAGAUGCUUCACCAUCUCUGAGUCAUGAAGAUGAUGAUAAGCCAACUAGCAGCCCAGAUACCGGAUUUGCAGAAGAUGAUAUUCAAGAAAUGCCAGAAAAUCCAGACACUAUGGAAACUGAGAAGCCCAGAACAAUCACAGAGCUGGUUCUUUGCCCAGUCCUAUAACUUCCUAAAAUUAACAAAGGGACAGCUACAGGAAGAGAUCCUGCCAGUUUUACUGAGAUAACUAAAGACUGUGAUGAGAAU